rnacentral:tRNA from 1 species
GGCUACGUAGCUCAGUUGGUUAGAGCACAUCACUCAUAAUGCUGGGGUCACAGGUUCGAAUCCCGUCGUAGCCACCA